ACUUAACUUUUCUCUAAAAUGGUGUAUCUAUUGUAAAUAUCUGUGACGAUGGGCAACUACAUCCGAUCUUUCUAUGGAAAACGAUCUGUUAUCAAUCUUGCCGUAUUUGAAGUUUAUUUUUCAUUAUUCGAAGAAGCGAUCUUUCGCUUCCUUAGUAGUUUAUUUUCUCUCUUUCACGUACUAAAAUUUCCAGUACGGUUGGCAUAUUUAUUUUCUCUGAAAAUUUCUGACACAGUUGCCCGAAUAACAGAAAGAGCAAAUUCAUCCACAUCAGUUAAUACGGAUAUCCUUGAUCGUUUUUUACCUGGGGUUCGAAUUAUUUCUUCUGAAUCCGGUGUAGUUCUGUC
rnacentral:lncRNA from 1 species